rnacentral:misc_RNA from 1 species
UGUGAUAAAGAGACAGGUGAAUCAUCGAAUCUUUGAACGCACAUUGCGCCCGCCAGUAUUCUGGCGGGCAUGCCUGUUCGAGCGUCAUUUCAACCAUCAAGCCCCGGGCUUGUGUUGGGGACCUGCGGCUGCCGCAGGCCCUGAAAUGCAGUGGCGGGCUCGCUGUCACUCCGAGCGUAGUAAUACAUCUCGCUCUGGACGUGCUGCGGGUUCCGGCCGUUAAAAGCCUUAUUUACCCAAGGUUGACCUCGGAUCAGGUAGGAAGACCCGCUGAACUUAAGCAUAUCAAUAAGCGGAGGA